rnacentral:rRNA from 1 species
UUAAGCGACUAAGCGUACACGGUGGAUGCCCUGGCAGUCAGAGGCGAUGAAGGACGUGCUAAUCUGCGAUAAGCGUCGGUAAGGUGAUAUGAACCGUUAUAACCGGCGAUUUCCGAAUGGGGAAACCCAGUGUGAUUCGUCACACUAUCAUUAACUGAAUCCAUAGGUUAAUGAGGCGAACCGGGGGAACUGAAACAUCUAAGUACCCCGAGGAAAAGAAAUCAACCGAGAUUCCCCCAGUAGCGGCGAGCGAACGGGGAGGAGCCCAGAGCCUGAAUCAGUGUGUGUGUUAGUGGAAGCGUCUGGAAAGGCGCGCGAUACAGGGUGACAGCCCCGUACACAAAAAUGCACAUGCUGUGAGCUCGAUGAGUAGGGCGGGACACGUGGUAUCCUGUCUGAAUAUGGGGGGACCAUCCUCCAAGGCUAAAUACUCCUGACUGACCGAUAGUGAACCAGUACCGUGAGGGAAAGGCGAAAAGAACCCCGGCGAGGGGAGUGAAAAAGAACCUGAAACCGUGUACGUACAAGCAGUGGGAGCACAGAGCAAUCUGUGUGACUGCGUACCUUUUGUAUAAUGGGUCAGCGACUUAUAUUCUGUAGCAAGGUUAACCGAAUAGGGGAGCCGAAGGGAAACCGAGUCUUAACUGGGCGUUAAGUUGCAGGGUAUAGACCCGAAACCCGGUGAUCUAGCCAUGGGCAGGUUGAAGGUUGGGUAACACUAACUGGAGGACCGAACCGACUAAUGUUGAAAAAUUAGCGGAUGACUUGUGGCUGGGGGUGAAAGGCCAAUCAAACCGGGAGAUAGCUGGUUCUCCCCGAAAGCUAUUUAGGUAGCGCCUCGUGAAUUCAUCUCCGGGGGUAGAGCACUGUUUCGGCAAGGGGGUCAUCCCGACUUACCAACCCGAUGCAAACUGCGAAUACCGGAGAAUGUUAUCACGGGAGACACACGGCGGGUGCUAACGUCCGUCGUGAAGAGGGAAACAACCCAGACCGCCAGCUAAGGUCCCAAAGUCAUGGUUAAGUGGGAAACGAUGUGGGAAGGCCCAGACAGCCAGGAUGUUGGCUUAGAAGCAGCCAUCAUUUAAAGAAAGCGUAAUAGCUCACUGGUCGAGUCGGCCUGCGCGGAAGAUGUAACGGGGCUAAACCAUGCACCGAAGCUGCGGCAGCGACACUAUGUGUUGUUGGGUAGGGGAGCGUUCUGUAAGCCUGUGAAGGUGUGCUGUGAGGCAUGCUGGAGGUAUCAGAAGUGCGAAUGCUGACAUAAGUAACGAUAAAGCGGGUGAAAAGCCCGCUCGCCGGAAGACCAAGGGUUCCUGUCCAACGUUAAUCGGGGCAGGGUGAGUCGACCCCUAAGGCGAGGCCGAAAGGCGUAGUCGAUGGGAAACAGGUUAAUAUUCCUGUACUUGGUGUUACUGCGAAGGGGGGACGGAGAAGGCUAUGUUGGCCGGGCGACGGUUGUCCCGGUUUAAGCGUGUAGGCUGGUUUUCCAGGCAAAUCCGGAAAAUCAAGGCUGAGGCGUGAUGACGAGGCACUACGGUGCUGAAGCAACAAAUGCCCUGCUUCCAGGAAAAGCCUCUAAGCAUCAGGUAACAUCAAAUCGUACCCCAAACCGACACAGGUGGUCAGGUAGAGAAUACCAAGGCGCUUGAGAGAACUCGGGUGAAGGAACUAGGCAAAAUGGUGCCGUAACUUCGGGAGAAGGCACGCUGAUAUGUAGGUGAAGCGACUUGCUCGUGGAGCUGAAAUCAGUCGAAGAUACCAGCUGGCUGCAACUGUUUAUUAAAAACACAGCACUGUGCAAACACGAAAGUGGACGUAUACGGUGUGACGCCUGCCCGGUGCCGGAAGGUUAAUUGAUGGGGUCAGCGCAAGCGAAGCUCUUGAUCGAAGCCCCGGUAAACGGCGGCCGUAACUAUAACGGUCCUAAGGUAGCGAAAUUCCUUGUCGGGUAAGUUCCGACCUGCACGAAUGGCGUAAUGAUGGCCAGGCUGUCUCCACCCGAGACUCAGUGAAAUUGAACUCGCUGUGAAGAUGCAGUGUACCCGCGGCAAGACGGAAAGACCCCGUGAACCUUUACUAUAGCUUGACACUGAACAUUGAGCCUUGAUGUGUAGGAUAGGUGGGAGGCUUUGAAGUGUGGACGCCAGUCUGCAUGGAGCCGACCUUGAAAUACCACCCUUUAAUGUUUGAUGUUCUAACGUUGACCCGUAAUCCGGGUUGCGGACAGUGUCUGGUGGGUAGUUUGACUGGGGCGGUCUCCUCCUAAAGAGUAACGGAGGAGCACGAAGGUUGGCUAAUCCUGGUCGGACAUCAGGAGGUUAGUGCAAUGGCAUAAGCCAGCUUGACUGCGAGCGUGACGGCGCGAGCAGGUGCGAAAGCAGGUCAUAGUGAUCCGGUGGUUCUGAAUGGAAGGGCCAUCGCUCAACGGAUAAAAGGUACUCCGGGGAUAACAGGCUGAUACCGCCCAAGAGUUCAUAUCGACGGCGGUGUUUGGCACCUCGAUGUCGGCUCAUCACAUCCUGGGGCUGAAGUAGGUCCCAAGGGUAUGGCUGUUCGCCAUUUAAAGUGGUACGCGAGCUGGGUUUAGAACGUCGUGAGACAGUUCGGUCCCUAUCUGCCGUGGGCGCUGGAGAACUGAGGGGGGCUGCUCCUAGUACGAGAGGACCGGAGUGGACGCAUCACUGGUGUUCGGGUUGUCAUGCCAAUGGCACUGCCCGGUAGCUAAAUGCGGAAGAGAUAAGUGCUGAAAGCAUCUAAGCACGAAACUUGCCCCGAGAUGAGUUCUCCCUGACUCCUUGAGAGUCCUGAAGGAACGUUGAAGACGACGACGUUGAUAGGCCGGGUGUGUAAGCGCAGCGAUGCGUUGAGCUAACCGGUACUAAUGAACCGUGAGGCUUAACCUU